rnacentral:SRP_RNA from 10 species
GCCCCAGGAGGAAAGGGGGACUGUUAGCAGCGUAGGAUUGAGGAGUUGGAAGAGACCUUUAAGACAGCUGGUCAUUAUGCCAACUGGGUGUCCGUACUAAGUUCGGUAUCAGUAUGGUGACCUCCUGGGAGCGGGGCCAUCGGGUUGCCUAAGGAUGGGAGAACUGGCCCAGGUCAGAAAGGGAGCAGGUCAGAAUUCCUGCACCAGUCGGUAGUGGGACUGUGCCUGGGCAAUAUAGCAAGAUUUUGGUUCUUAAAAAUAAAGAACAGCGCAUUC